CCUACGGGGGGCUGCAGUGAGGAAUAUUGCACAAUGGGCGCAAGCCUGAUGCAGCCAUGCCGCGUGUGUGAAGAAGGCCUUCGGGUUGUAAAGCACUUUCAGCGGGGAGGAAGGCGUUAAGGUUAAUAACCUUGUCGAUUGACGUUACCCGCGGAAGAAGCACCGGCUAACUCCGUGCCAGCAGCCGCGGUAAUACGGAGGGUGCAAGCGUUAAUCGGAAUUACUGGGCGUAAAGCGCACGCAGGCGGUCUGUCAAGUCGGAUGUGAAAUCCCCGGGCUCAACCUGGGAACUGCAUUCGAAACUGGCAGGCUAGAGUCUUGUAGAGGGGGGUAGAAUUCCAGGUGUAGCGGUGAAAUGCGUAGAGAUCUGGAGGAAUACCGGUGGCGAAGGCGGCCCCCUGGACAAAGACUGACGCUCAGGUGCGAAAGCGUGGGGAGCAAACAGGAUUAGAUACCCGAGUAGUC
rnacentral:rRNA from 1 species